rnacentral:lncRNA from 1 species
AAAACCGGGAAGUGCGCGGCUGCGACGGCGUCGGGCAGCGUGCUCGGCGGAGAAAACGCGCGCUCUAAUCCUCUCGACCAGAGGCUUUCCUCUGUCUCCGCCAAAAAACUCAAGCCCUCCGCAAGCCGGGAGGCUCCCGCGACAAGCGCGCCGUCCCCGGACCCGGUCGGACCGCGUGGCCGGGCUCGCAUUCCCGACGCGGCGGGACUGGAGGGCUGACAAACUGUUUUCGGUUUGCACACCCAGCCAUCCCCGCCGCGGAAUCUGCUCCAAGAAGAUGUCGUUAGGAAGUUACGGGCAGGACUGAUGCUUUGACCGCAGGAGGAUCCGGGCAAAGAUUUAUCUGGAAGUUUGUCUUGCACAACCCACUUCUGGAGUCCCGCGACACUCCAGACAAAAGGACGGGCUCUAAACCUAUCUCGAGAGUCCUCUGGACCUGCUGUUAGGACCCUAGUUCUCCUCACCUCGUCCAAAUGAACUCAGCAUUCGGAAACUUCUCGUCCCCACCUCCAUCCCCCACCCCGUUUUUGGUGAGCGACUUUUUAAAAGGGGGCUCGAGCUCGGAGAACAAGAAACGUAAUAGAAAAGCUAUCCCCGCGCUGUCACGCGUCCCCGCUCGUCUUCCAGCGGAAGCGUCGCUGUAGGGUGGCAGUGGUGUAUUUUUUUUUUUUAAUUACGCAAUUUAGGCGAAUGCAGUCCAAUCCAGAGCCGCUAGCUGUGUACGCGCUGAGCUUGGUAGAGUUCACCGUGGAAUUUGCUUUUCCAACAACGACCCCGGGGGAGAGCCCGGGCCUCUUUAGGCGGCGUCUUACCUCGCCCCUCGCCUCCCGGCGUCUUCGGCGACCGCUCAGUAGAUGCGGCGUCCCCAGCGCGGCACCCGAGCCCAGCCCAGCAGCGCGGGCUCUUCGCCUCCCUCUCCACCGUCCCCGCGCUUUUUAAAACUUUGGGCGCAGCUUUUGAGUGACUGUCCAGGAAUCAGUGCUCCUGCCCCACUUCAACUAGCGUACAAAUAAAUACCUUACCCCCGUUCACGUUUCAUAAAUUAGGAAAAGACAUCCAGCUUACAUUCCCCCAAAUUAGCUGUAUCCGACUCUGCAAUUCAUUUACCCUUCCAAGUUGGUGACACGAAAUUCUAUUCUCCAAACAAACCGUAAUGAUCAAUCCAACGUCCCUUUCUACUCCGUUUUAAAAGACUGAAGAAUUAAUGCCAGAGGAGAGCUAUCAACACUGCCGGAGAUUACAGAUUAAGCGAUAUCAGAGCCCCAUACCACCACUCUUUUACUAUCCCUCAUUCUGGGCGUGAUCCCUCUUCACUAAAAUCCUAGCCCAAAUGUAUUUUGUCCCCUACCCUUGAUUCUUUGAAAAUCUGUUUCCUAAAAUAGUAAACGUAACGUUUUAAAGACCUUCUAACGUCACCCUCCUCAUUGCAGUCCUAAGCGGCACACCAGCGCAGCUCAGCCCGCUCCUGAAGACUUCGAAGCAGGAAACCCAGCAAUCUUCCAAGUGGCACCUUCCCUGCUGGCCUAGAUGAACCUAGAAAGCAAGCAACUUCAAUGAAUGCAAACUAAGCUUUCCCGAGGAGAAACGUCAAAGCAGCUACAAUCAGUCUCUGAUUACACAAACAUACCUAGGGGCAGGUUGGAGUAAGGAGGGCUUUAGGGGUGGGGGUUGCCUACCCAGAGGUGGCUUAAACCAGUUCUCCUAUUGUUACUGAGUUUAGGAAAGCUAGCUUUUGUUUCGUGGUGGAUUUUGGGGAUCAAACCCGAGAUGCCAGCUAAACAUCCCUGAAGUCUUUGUAAGAGAACCUAACCCAAAGUUAGGACUUCAGUUCCUUUAAAUUAAGAUACUGAGUUAUGCAUAAUUAACGAUUCCAGUAGAGAAACAAUGCAGAAUUAUUUUGAAAUAUUGUAAAAGGAGGGUCGACAUGUGCGUCUAUCUGCCCAGUUUUGCGAGAGCUAAAUGCCACUCACGGGCCCCCUCUACCAAACCGGGAAGAGUGGCGACAGCGGGACUCCUUAGGUCAUGUCUUGGGACCCAAAGGUUUCGGACUCCCUCCAACCAUCCUUUUGGAGGAAGGAGGCUUACAGCUCUAACUCCCUCCCCAGCAAACAAACCAGAGAGAACUGAGGCCCUAUCUUUCCUGGGCCCAUCUGGAGACACACGCCUAGAAAGCAAAGCUCUUUCCCGCCUACCUAGUAGGUAGCGGUUGACGAGUGAUUGUGCACAGUGUCCAGGAACUCCCAGGCUAAGGGACGUCCAGCUCUCGAGGUUUACAGGCAAGGGGGACCUGAAGUGGAGGGAGGUGCAUUGUUUCCACAUGGCGUUUAGGUGGUAACAGCCCAAAAUAUAGCUUUCAUUGAGAGAGAAGAGCUACCCAGGCCCAGCUCUGCGCGCGGCGAGGGCCCGCUGGGAUUGGGCGGACGCGCGUCACGUGACCGGGCGCCGUGCCCUGGAGCCCCGCCCCUCCCUGGCGCUCACUCGGCGGUGCUGCAGCAGCCGGGAUUAGUCCCACUUUCACUUUCUGCACUGGGGCUUCACACCUGAGUGAUAUUGUUUUGUUUUCUUUUGUUUUUUGUUUUGUUUGAUUUUGAGAUGGCCAGUACAAAAAAGAGGCAGUCCAAAGAAAAAGAGCUCCAUGCGUUUCUGGAAGGGGGUGAUGAGCCGGGGAGGUCGGACGGGGGCUGUUCAGGGUCCGCGCUCCCGGGAGGACGAGGACCCGGAAAGCAGGUGUUUUCCCCAUUGCAAGGGCAACACUGAGCUCGCGCGUCCACAAAACGUUCUGCGAAAUUGUAAGGGCCUCCAGCAUCACAACCAAAAGUAGAAAGUAGUAGGGGCUUCACCCUCCGAGCGCUGACGUGGUGAUUUGUUUCUGAAGAAGGACUUGCUCCAGGUAGUUUAUUAGGGUAGCGAGAGCGAAGGGCCACCAAAGCUGGCUUGUCAUCCAACCUAGGAAACGGCACUCGCUGAAAAAACAAACUCACGAUGGCUUCCGUCUCACCUCUAACCUGUGGGGGACUGGACUGGACUCAGUUCAGUACGAGUGCAGGGAGAGGGCUGCGCGCCAGCUCUGGAUGAGCCCAGCCAGCGGUCCUAUGUCUGUACCUGUCCUUAUCGCUUAUCACUAACCGCCCUUAUCAGUCAUUAUCGCGGCUGGUCACUGACUAAAACAUUCUUCCAUAGUCCUAAAUAAGUUCACCUAUAGAAAGAAACCAUUCCAGAUCACUAACAUGAGCUUGGCCCAUUCAUUUGUUCUUACAUUUAUAUAACAGUGUUAUUUUACAUGUUGCACAUUUUCCAGUGCCUGACUUACUAGGUUCUGAAGCACAGCAGCAACCUGUGAACCAGUCAGGCUCUUUUGCCUACGGUGACCUUCAAGUGUCCAUCUGUAACAAGUCAGGGCAAGUUGCAAUAAAUAAUUGGAUCUUUGAAAGGAA